rnacentral:misc_RNA from 1 species
GUCGCCGUGGCUGAUGGAAAGAUAACUUUGCCAUGUAACAUCACUCCUUCCAUAAUGGAAGACACCUUGGAACUGGCCUUGUGGUACAAAGAUGACUCCGCUAAACCUAUUUAUAGCUUAGAUGGAAGAACUGGAAAUGUACGCCAAGCACGGCACUCUUCCUCCAAAUCUCUGUCGGGCAGAGCCUACUUCAGUACGGUGGACAGACCAGCUGUCCUCGUCAUAGAUCCUGUCAUACCCGAAGACGAGGGAAGUUACAGAUGCCGAGUGGAUUUCCAUCGAGAGCGAACGAGACAUUUUGAGCUGUACGUCAUGGUUAUUGUGCCUCCUACAGAAAUUGUAAUAAAGAACCAGAAAGGAGAGAUCUUAGAAAACGUAAUUGGCCCAUUAAACGAAGGAGAAACGUGCCUAUUAAUAUGUGAGGUGACUGGAGAAUAUAUUUUUGGACCAAACGCCUCAAAAUACUACAGUUUCUUGUUGUCAGGUAAACCUUCACCGUUGGUAACGUGGUGGAAAGACAACAUUCUAUUGGAUGACAGUUAUGAGACGACCUCUAGUGGCAGAGUUCGAAACGAGUUAAUUAUUCCGGAGCUGAAGAGACAUCAUCUGAUGGUAGUGCUAAUGUGUCAGGCUGUUAAUAACAAUAUAUCUCUCCCUCUAUCGGCCUACGUCACGCUCAACAUGAAUUUUAGGCCCUUGACUGUAACUAUAAAGCAGAAAGGACUGCCCUUGUCUUCAGGGAAAAUGGUCCAGCUUGAGUGCCGCACCUCAGGCUCACGUCCUCCGGCAGAAAUCACAUGGUGGAAAGGGUCAACACAGCUGAGAUCCACUAAAAAUCGCACUAACAAAGAUGAGACUUUGACCACUAGUUUCCUCACCAUACGGUCUUCCAUGGAGGACAACGGAAAGUACUUGUCUUGUAAAGCUGAAAAUCGUUUAAUACAGGAUAGUACCAUAGAAGACGGCUGGGUGCUGGAAGUGUACCAUCCACCGGAACUUACGUUAAGACUCGGCAGCAAGCUACGUCACUCUCACAUCCAGGUCGGAAAUGACGUGUACCUAGAGUGUAACAUUAGGGCUAAUCCUUGGGUGACCGAAAUAGGCUGGAAGUUUGAAGGACGCGAGCUCCAGACCGACACAACCGUGGGUGUCAUUGUCAGCAAUCAGUCCCUGGUUUUACAAAAAGUACAACGCUCCAGCAGAGGGCGCUAUAUGUGUUUUGCAAAAAACUCCGAGGGCUUAGGGGAGAGUAAUGUCUUACACUUACGUGUUCAAUGUAAGUAGCAAACUUUGUUGUACAAGUUAGUUUUACGUUGCUUCUUCUGUUAUAGAAUUCAUGUUCAUUCAUUCCAAAAAACAUCUUCAAGUUGCUCUUAGCUGUUCAGAAAGAUACAUCACUAUCUGUGAAUAGAACAUAAAACUGGACAUGUAUGUGGUUCUGAUGUUUAGGUAGAAACAUGAGUUCUUAUGAAUAGAACAUAAAACUGGACAUGUAUGUGGUUCGGAUGUUUAAGUAGAAACAUGAAUUCUUAUGAAUAGAACAUAAAACUGGACAUGUAUGUGGUUCGGAUGUUUAAGUAGAAACAUGAAUUCUUAUGAAUAGAACAUAAAACUGGACAUGUAUGUGGUUCGGAUGUUUAGGUAGAAACAUGAUUUCUUAUGAAUAGAACACAAAACUGGACAUGUAUGUGGUUCGGAUGUUUAAGUAGAAACAUGAAUUCUUAUGAAUAGAACAUAAAACUGGACAUGUAUGUGGUUCGGAUGUUUAGGUAGAAACAUGAUUUCUUACGAAUAGAACACAAAACUGAACAUUUAUUUGGUUUGGAUGUUUAGGUAGAAACAUCAUUGUCAGGUUUUGUUUUUGUGGAUUU